GCUAUUAUAGUGGGCAACAGAGAUCUGCAAGACAGUUACAAUGUGCAUCUGCAAAGUCAUAAAGACUAUGUCCUUGAGGAAGCUGGCUUAAAAAUAGUCAGAAAAGAGCUUGAGGUUGACAAGCAGGGAACUAGUGAACGCAAGAUGAAAAAUCCAGCAAGUAAAACAGUUACGUAAAAGGCAAGAUGCGUAUUUCAGUUCACUCAUGUCAUUUAGUGACCUGGUACAUCCCUUAACACUCCCAAGUCCUCAAGGACAAGAACUACAUUUGCCUGCUGGCUCUCUUGCACAUAUUCUCAUGAUGCCCUUAUGUCUAACAGAUGGUUUAACAAUGGUAAACCACACUAUUGCAGUAAGUAGAAAUAUUAAGCCAAUGGGAAGUCUGACAAGCCUGAGAGCAUAUACAGCUUCCAUGUAUGUGUGGAAGUACAGUGUGAAAAUUACACCGCUGAGGAAGACUAUUCCUCCACUGCCAAUGAGUGGUAUUGGUUUAACUAUUAGAUUAAACUCCUAUCACAGCAUUUGGUUCACUUAUCACUGUUCCUAGUGAACAUUCAAAAUCAAGACUAGGACUGGUUCACGCAGCUGGCACACCUGAAUUCAUACAGCCUUUGAUGGUUUUAAGAUGGAAGAAAACAGAACUGUCCCCAGCAGGGAUCUCCUCAACUGAAAUAAAGCCCAAAAGUGAAGGUGUAUGUGUCUGAGGGGAGAUGUAGAAAACCCCGAUUUACCUUGGAAAUUUAGACUUUUGUGGAAAGAAAGCCAAGAGCAAGCUCCACCUAGUUCUUCUGGCCAGGAAAAGAGUUGUCACCCUAUACGAACAUCUGCAAGGACAAGGCUGUCCAUUACUUACUGUAACAAAGUACAUCAGACCUGGAAAGGUACAUAACAAGUACAGUAUUCCAGGAAUACAGAAAACUAUAGAGGCAAAUAGAAAGCUGUUAAACUAUCACACUCAACCAGGCCUCAAACUCCUUAGCUGCAGGAGUGACGUUUAAAAUACUACCCCAAAGUUAACUUGCAUGUCUGAUGUUUGGAAGGACCUUCAGUUUGGAGCUGGAAAUUAAAAAGUAGCUCUCCUUUAAUUUCCCAUAUGCAAAGCAAAUAGAGUAUAAACACUG